rnacentral:rRNA from 1 species
UACGUAGGGUGCAAGCGUUGUCCGGAAUUAUUGGGCGUAAAGAGCUCGUAGGCGGUUUGUCGCGUCGAAUGUGAAAACCCGGGGCUCAACCCCGGGCCCGCAUUCGAUACGGGCAGACUAGAGUUCGGUAGGGGAGUCUGGAAUUCCUGGUGUAGCGGUGAAAUGCGCAGAUAUCAGGAGGAACACCGGUGGCGAAGGCGGGACUCUGGGCCGAUACUGACGCUGAGGAGCGAAAGCGUGGGGAGCAAACAGG